UUCAGACUCAGACUACAGUUC
ensembl:piRNA 21ur-92 ncRNA